GGUUGGUGGUGUGACUGUAGUAGGUUGGUGCUGUGACUGUAGUAGGUUUGUGGUGUGACUGUAAUAGGCUGGUGGUGUGACUGUAGUAGGUUGGUGGUGUGUCUGUGGUAGGUUGGUGCUGUGACUGUAGUAGGUUGGUGGUGUGACUGUAGUAGGUUGGAGGUGUGACUGUAGUAGGUUGGUGGUGUGACUGUAGUAGGUUGGUGCUGUGACUGUAGUAGGCUGGUGGUGUGACUGUAGUAGACUGGUCUGUGACUGUAGUAGGUUGGUGGUGUGACUGUAGUAGGCUGGUGCUGUGACUGUAGUAGGUUGGUGGUGUGACUGUAGUAGGUUGGUGCUGUGACUGUAGUAGGUUGGUGGUGUGACUGUAGUAGGUUGGUGCUGUGACUGUAGUAGGUUGGUGGUGUGACUGUAGUAGGCUGGUGCUGUGACUGUAGUAGGCUGGUGGUGUGACUGUAGUAGGCUGGUGCUGUGACUGUAGUAGGUUGGUGGUGUGACAGCUGUGUAGGCUGGUGCUGUGACUGUAGUAGGUUGGUGGUGUGAUGGCUGUGUAGGUUGGUGGUGUGACUGUAGUAGGUUGGUGGUGU
ensembl:lncRNA